rnacentral:rRNA from 1 species
UCGAAACCUGCCCAGCAGAACAACCCGUGAACAUGUUUGUAAAUCGAGGGGUCGACGUUGUAUUCGUCCAUUGUUGAUCCCUCAUUGGGGCCUAAACGAGGGAAACGGGAUCAGGCUAUGCCUUCCCCCCGCAACCCUUGAUCUUGGGCCUCUUAACCAAACCCCGGCGCCGAACGCGUCAAGGAAUUGCAAACGAAAAGAUAGCACGCCUUGGUUGCCCCGGAAACGGUGAGCAUCUGGAAUGCGUUGCACUUUUGAGAACCAAAACGACUCUCGGCAACGGAUAUCUCGGCUCUCGCAUCGAUGAAGAACGCAGCGAAAUGCGAUACUUGGUGUGAAUUGCAGGAUCCCGCGAACCAUCGAGUCUUUGAACGCAAGUUGCGCCCGAAGCCUUUUGGCCGAGGGCACGUCUGCCUGGGUGUCACUCAAUCGUCGCCCCCACCGCCUCCCUCCCUCGCGAGGGAUGCGGGCGGGACGGAAGCUGGCUUCCCGUGGACUUGUUCUCCGCGGUUGGCCCAAAUGCCCGGUCCUCGGCAGCCACGCCGCGACAAUCGGUGGUUGUAAGACCCUCGCAGAACGUCGUGCGCGCUCGGCCGUCCGUGCGGACCUAUGAGACCCCGAAGCGUGUCUUAGGGCGCGCUCUCUAUGCGACCCCAGGU